CGGAGGGAGUAGUAAUUUUGUAGUGUGAUGUGAUGGGUCAAUGUAGAGUUGGUUGAUGAAUUGUAGAGUUGGAACAGCUCUUCCAUGUUAGAAAUUGAUUUGGCAACAGCGCAAUGCUUUUUGUAGUUAUUAGUGCGAUAUGGUUGGUCCUUGUGUUGGUUCAAGAAUUAUUUUUUUGUUUUUUGAUGCUCAAGGAUUGAUUGUGCAGGGCUAUGCACAGUGUGUUGCUCGAUUGUUAUCCAACAACUUUUUGCUUCAUGCAACUUCAUGAGUUCUGUAACUGGAAUCGAACAGAUGAAGGAGGGCAAUCUGGGAUGCAUAUCACACCAAGAUCUUUUGCGAAAUAGGCCAACAUGAAACGACUGCUGGCAAUAGCUAGUCUGGGUGUGUGCUUGGGUGCCGAAGGUUGCAAGAACCCUGAGCUCAAAUUCUAGGAUAGAGCUGGGCAGAGGUAUGUGAAGAAGCGCUUCAAGCACAGAUCGGACUCGUUAAAGCAGUACAGAAGAUAGAUGGAACCCAAAUCUUUGACGGUUAUUGGGUCGGAUCCUGGAAGAGGAAUCACUGGGCCAAUGAUGGUUGGUGGAAGAAUCACAUUGCAAGAACCCCAGAGCAUGCCAAGUUCCACAUGGGCCACGGCCAACUUGACUUUGUUGCAUGUUCUAUUCAGGACAGAAAAUGCCACCGGUGAAUCAUCCAUUGUACCUGGAGAGGACUUAGGAAGACAAUGGAGGAUGAUACUCCAACCAGGAUUACUGACGGGUCAGACGACGAUGCACUUGCUGCAUUUGCUGAAGCAUCUUCUUGCAACAAGGCUCCUCCUGCCACGGUUCUGAACCUGAAGGAAGACUUGAUUACAUGAUGACACCAGCAUAUGUGUGCAACUUUGCUCUAGAAAUUGAUUGUCAUAUCUUUGUUCUGCUCCUGAAUAUUUGAAUGAAUGGGUCUUGUCAAGCAUCACGUGCACAUUUCUCCAAUGUCAUACAAAUGCAUUAAUUAACCAGCA